GGGAAUGUUUAGAGCGGUGCGCGCUCAUUUAGGAUUUUCUCAACACGACAACAAGAAAGAAGGAUAGCAUUUACAGACGACUUGGACGACUAACGGAAAAAAGAGUAAAGAGACCGAGAUAUCAGUAAGUGCAAGGAUGAUCCACCAGUGCAGCCUUUGAGUUGACCUAGAGUUUGUUGUGCAUCUAGUUACGCUUCGCAAAUUGUUUGGGGAAACGAAGCUUCUUUCAGAUAUGCUGCAGUCAUCAACUGUUAACCUCUCAAGAGCAGCAGAUUUAGUGGAAGGUUUGGUUCAGACUUUGACAGAUUUCAGGCAACAGUCCUUUUUUGACAACCUGUGGGAUGAAGUAUUAACCAUCUGUGAGCAGUGUGAUGCUGCCACCCAGUCGUUGGCAAAACGACAAAGAACAAAAAGUUCUAGACUCCAUGAGUACCACAUACUAAGCUCUGUUGGUCAGAGGGAGCAAGUUUGUGAUAAAGAAACUUAUCGGUCCUCUUACUUUUAUCCUGUCAUUGACUGCAUGCUUAGUGAACUAAGCAGAUGUUUUUCAAAGACCAACUGUGAGUUGAUGAGUUGUAUCCAAUCUCUUAACCCCAAGAGUGAUGCAUUUUUAAUAGACACAACUCUGUUUGAAUUUGGCCGUCUUUAUGAUGCCAAUAUUGAGGCUCUGGGACCUGAAUUCAAUCAGUUCAGAAGACUUUUCGAGACAAAACUAAAGAGUCACGAGAUUGGAAACCCUUCGGAUACAGUGGAGUUGAUCCGUUUCAUUGAGCCAUACAAAGACGUAUUCUGCCAGCUCUUUAGACUGUGCAAAAUUGCUGUUGCACUCCCAGUGAGUUCUGCUACCUGUGAGAGGAGUUUUUCCAAACUAAGAUUAGAGAAAACCUACCUCAGGUCCACUAUUACCGAUGAACGUCUCAGCAGUUUAGGGAUGUUAAGCAUUGAAUCCAGAAGGGCAAAGGCUUUGGACCUUGAUGCAUUUGUGGACUAUUUUGCACGAAACCACAAACGCAGAAUACUAUUAUUGUAGUGUUUGGUAUUUCCAGUGCAAGACCAUGAGAAAUUACUGAAAUGAAAAUGUGACUGUAGGUCUCCUAAAUGUUAAUGUACAGGUUUAUGAAGGUUUGUGAAGGUUUAUUGUUCCUAUGUGCUGUAUGUGAAAUACUUUGAAUAGAAGUUUUUGUUACAUUGGUGCUCUAAAUAAACAAAAAUGUUGUUUAAAAAAAAA